CUUCAGCUUCGGCCUCAGUCAGCCGCGCAGGGACGCGGAGCCCUGCGCCGAGCCCUGCGCUUGCGCUUGCCGGGCGGGCAUGGACGGGCGAGAGGCGUUCUGCAAGCGCGAAAUCGGUGAGCCCGGCCGCCGCGCCGCAGCCCCGCGAGUCUUUCCGAGUCCCGGAGAAUCCUGCACGCGAGAUCCCAGGGCUACCGACCCAUGCGGGCCGUUUCGCUGUUGCUAAAAACCAACGCCCAGGGACUGGGAGAGGAACUGGGGUUCCCAAACUGUUUUUUGGAAGCAGCGAUGAACGGGAUAGUGCAUGACGUGGACGUGCUGGGCGCGGGCAUCUGGCUGGUGGAUCGGGACGGGCUGUACAAGAUGAACCGCCUGUACCUCACUCACCCCCGACGGCUUCUUCUUCCAAGUCCACAUGUUAGUCCUGGACUCCUCCAGCUGCAGUAAACCGUGUCCAGAGUUUAAACCUGG
rnacentral:misc_RNA from 1 species